UGAGGCAUGAGGACAGACUGCUAGCUUAAAAAAGGCCUGUUUUAAUACAAGUGAAUUCCUGUGCAAUCCUGGAAGCCUUCGGCAGCAGCACAGACCUUGGGUUAAUCCACAUGAAAUGCACUGAGUAUGUGGAAAUCCCUGUGACAUCUCGUGAUGAAGUGAAGGACUGAUGCCUGGUAGAUGAGCCCCACGGCUGCCGAGACAGAACUGAGACCACAGGUUCAUGAGGACAGGAAUUCACCUAUAAUGAGGUCUCAGUUCGCUUCAUGA
rnacentral:lncRNA from 1 species